rnacentral:rRNA from 1 species
CCUACGGGGGGCAGCAGUGGGGAAUAUUGGACAAUGGGCGAAAGCCUGAUCCAGCCAUGCCGCGUGUGUGAAGAAGGCCUUCGGGUUGUAAAGCACUUUCAGUGGGGAAGAAAGCCUUGGGGCUAAUACCCUCGAGGAAGGACAUCACCCACAGAAGAAGCACCGGCUAACUCCGUGCCAGCAGCCGCGGUAAUACGGAGGGUGCGAGCGUUAAUCGGAAUUACUGGGCGUAAAGCGCGCGUAGGCGGUCUGAUAAGCCGGUUGUGAAAGCCCCGGGCUCAACCUGGGAACGGCAUCCGGAAAGUGUGAGGUGAGAGGCAAGGGGAGAAGGGAAGAACACACGGGGUAGCGGUGACAGGAGGAGAGAUCGGGAGGAAUAAGAGUGGCAGCGGCGGCUUAUGACACUAACACGGAAGAGGAGGGGCACAAGCUGGGGUAGCACAGAGGCGUAGAGACCCGGGACUUC